rnacentral:rRNA from 1 species
AUACGUAGGUGGCAAAGGCGUUGUCCGGAUUUACUGGGCGUAAAGAGUAUGUAGCGGAUAUUUAAGUCAGAUGUGAAAUUCCCGGGCUUAACUUGGGAGCUGCAUUUGAUACUGGAUAUCUAGAGUGCGGGAGAGGAAAGUGGAAUUCCUAGUGUAGCGGUGAAAUGCGUAGAGAUUAGGAAGAACACCAGUGGCGAAGGCGACUUUCUGGACCGUAACUGACGCUGAGAUACGAAAGCGUGGGGAGC